UACGUAGGGUGCAAGCGUUAAUCGGAAUUACUGGGCGUAAAGCGUGCGCAGGCGGCUUUGCAAGACAGAUGUGAAAUCCCCGGGCUCAACCUGGGAACUGCAUUUGUGACUGCAUGGCUAGAGUGCGGCAGAGGGGGAUGGAAUUCCGCGUGUAGCAGUGAAAUGCGUAGAUAUGCGGAGGAACACCGA
rnacentral:rRNA from 1 species